rnacentral:rRNA from 1 species
UACGUAGGGGGCGAGCGUUGUCCGGAAUCAUUGGGCGUAAAGAGCUCGUAGGCGGCUCAGUAAGUCGGGUGUGAAACCCCCAGGCUCAACCUGGGGACGCCACCCGAUACUGCUGUGGCUAGAGUCCAGUAGGGGAGUGUGGAAUUCCCGGUGUAGCGGUGAAAUGCGCAGAUAUCGGGAGGAACACCAGCGGCGAAGGCGGCACUCUGGGACGGUACUGACGCUGAGACGCGAAAGCGUGGGGAGCGAACAGG